rnacentral:rRNA from 1 species
UACGUAGGGGGCAAGCGUUGUCCGGAAUCAUUGGGCGUAAAGAGCGUGUAGGCGGCCCGGUAAGUCCGUUGUGAAAGUCCAGGGCUCAACCCUGGAAAGCCGAUGGAUACUGCCGGGCUAGAGUUCGGAAGAGGCGAGUGGAAUUCCUGGGUGAGCGGUGGAAUGCGCAGAUAUCAGGAGGAACACCUAUAGCGAAGGCAGCUCGCUGGGACGACACUGACGCUGGAGACGCGAAAGCGUGGGGAGCGAACAGG